rnacentral:rRNA from 1 species
GAUGAACGCUGGCGGCGUGCCUAAUACAUGCAAGUCGAGCGAACGGACGAGAAGCUUGCUUCUCCGAUGUUAGCGGCGGACGGGUGAGUAACACGUGGAUAACCUACCUAUAAGACUGGGAUAACUUCGGGAAACCGGAGCUAAUACCGGAUAAUAUUUUGAACCGCAUGGUUCAAAAGUGAAAGACGGUCUUGCUGUCACUUAUAGAUGGAUCCGCGCUGCAUUAGCUAGUUGGUAAGGUAACGGCUUACCAAGGCAACGAUGCAUAGCCGACCUGAGAGGGUGAUCGGCCACACUGGAACUGAGACACGGUCCAGACUCCUACGGGAGGCAGCAGUAGGGAAUCUUCCGCAAUGGGCGAAAGCCUGACGGAGCAACGCCGCGUGAGUGAUGAAGGUCUUCGGAUCGUAAAACUCUGUUAUUAGGGAAGAACAUAUGUGUAAGUAACUGUGCACAUCUUGACGGUACCUAAUCAGAAAGCCACGGCUAACUACGUGCCAGCAGCCGCGGUAAUACGUAGGUGGCAAGCGUUAUCCGGAAUUAUUGGGCGUAAAGCGCGCGUAGGCGGUUUUUUAAGUCUGAUGUGAAAGCCCACGGCUCAACCGUGGAGGGUCAUUGGAAACUGGAAAACUUGAGUGCAGAAGAGGAAAGUGGAAUUCCAUGUGUAGCGGUGAAAUGCGCAGAGAUAUGGAGGAACACCAGUGGCGAAGGCGACUUUCUGGUCUGUAACUGACGCUGAUGUGCGAAAGCGUGGGGAUCAAACAGGAUUAGAUACCCUGGUAGUCCACGCCGUAAACGAUGAGUGCUAAGUGUUAGGGGGUUUCCGCCCCUUAGUGCUGCAGCUAACGCAUUAAGCACUCCGCCUGGGGAGUACGACCGCAAGGUUGAAACUCAAAGGAAUUGACGGGGACCCGCACAAGCGGUGGAGCAUGUGGUUUAAUUCGAAGCAACGCGAAGAACCUUACCAAAUCUUGACAUCCUUUGACAACUCUAGAGAUAGAGCCUUCCCCUUCGGGGGACAAAGUGACAGGUGGUGCAUGGUUGUCGUCAGCUCGUGUCGUGAGAUGUUGGGUUAAGUCCCGCAACGAGCGCAACCCUUAAGCUUAGUUGCCAUCAUUAAGUUGGGCACUCUAAGUUGACUGCCGGUGACAAACCGGAGGAAGGUGGGGAUGACGUCAAAUCAUCAUGCCCCUUAUGAUUUGGGCUACACACGUGCUACAAUGGACAAUACAAAGGGCAGCGAAACCGCGAGGUCAAGCAAAUCCCAUAAAGUUGUUCUCAGUUCGGAUUGUAGUCUGCAACUCGACUACAUGAAGCUGGAAUCGCUAGUAGUCGUAGAUCAGCAUGCUACGGUGAAUACGUUCCCGGGUCU